ACCAUGACAGAAUAAGCCAUCUUCUUUGCCAAGGACUUCCUAGCGGGAGGCAUCACCGCUGCUGUCUCUAAGACAGCCGUAGCAUCGAUCAAGCGGGUCCAGCUGCUGCUGCAGGUGCAGCACGCCAGCAUGCCCAUGGCCGCCGACAAGCAGUGCAAGGGCAUCGUGGACUGCAUCGUCCGCAUCCCCAAGGAUCAGGGCAUGGUGUCCUUCUGGAGGGGCAACCUGGCCAGUGUCAUCCACUACUUCCCCACGCAAGCCCUCAAUCUCGCCUUCAAGGAUAAGUACAAGCAGAUCUUCCUGGGGGGCCUGGACAAGCCCACACAGUUCUGGAGGUACUUUGCGGGCAACCUGGCCUCUGGCGGCACGGCCGUCAUGCAUCGCCUGGAUUUCACCAGAACCCGCCUGGCAGCUGACGUGGGAAAGUCAGGCACGGAGCGCGAGUUCCGAGGCCUGGGAGACUGCCUGGUGAAUCUCAGCAAGUCCGACGGCAUCCGGGGCCUGGCUUCCAUCCGGGGCCUGUACCAGGGCUUCAGCAUCUCCGUGCAGGCCAUCAUCAUCUACCAGGCAGCCUACUUCAGGGUGUACGAUACGGCCAACGGCAUGUUCCCCGGCCCCAAGAACACGCACAUCCUGGUGAGCCUGAUGAUCGCGCAGACCGUGACGGCCGUGGCUGCCGUGGUCUCCUACCCCUUCCACACAGUGCGGUGGCCGACGAUGAUGCAGUCCCGGCACAAAGGAGCUGACAUCACGUACACGGGAACCAUCCACUGUUAGAGGAAGAUCUUCAGAGACGAGCGGGGCAAGGCCUUUUUCAAGGGUGCGUGGUCCAACGCCCUCAGAGGGGCGGGGGUGGGGGUGGGCUUCCUGCUGGUCCUGUACGACGAGCUGAAGGUCAGCUAAGGGCCUUGGCAUCGUCCACACACACACCAAAGGAACCAAGAGAACCACGUAGAAUCCUCAAGUGUGCAAACCAUCGACAUUCGAGAAAUUCCAGUUGUCUUUUUCCCAGCAGGACCCUGGCUGUAGAUGGCCAGGAAAGGCUCUAGAAAAGGGGCGCAUUGGCCGGG